rnacentral:tRNA from 1 species
UAUUAUAGUCCUCAGGGCUUUGUAAGAGCCCCUCAUAAGAUGCUGUU